UACGGAAGGCAGCAGUGGGGAAUAUUGCACAAUGGGCGAAAGCCUGAUGCAGCUAUGCCGCGUGUAUGAAGAAGGCCUUAGGGUUGUAAAGUACUUUCAUCGGGGAGGAAAAAACAAAACUAAUAAUUUUAUUUCUUGACGUUACCCGAAAAAGAAGCACCGGCUAACUCCGUGCCAGCAGCCGCGGUAAUACGGAGGGUGCUAGCGUUAAUCAGAAUUACUGGGCGUAAAGAGCACGUAGGUGGUUUUUUUAAGUCAGAUGUGAAAUCCCUGGGCUUAACCUGGAACUGCAUUUUGAAACUGAAAUACUAGAGUAUCGUAGAGGGAGGUAGAAUUCUAGGUGUAGCGGUGAAAUGCGUAGAUAUCUGGAGGAAUACCUGUGGCGAAAGCGGCCUCCUAAACGAAUACUGACACUGAGGUGCGAAAAGCGUGGGGAGCAAAACAGGGAUUAGAUACC
rnacentral:rRNA from 1 species